CGGUAAUUCCAGCUCCAAUAGCGCAUACUUGAGUUGCUGCAGUUAAAACGCUCGUAGCUGUACCUGUGGGCCGACCGCCCGGUCCGGGGCCUUUCGCGUCCCGCGUACCUUGGGUUCCCCGCCUUGGCGCCUCGGCGUCUGGGGCGGGGCUUUCGGGUCGGCUCAUCCUCGCGGAGAGGCGGUCCCGUCGUUCAUUCGGCGAGGCCGCGGACCCGCGUCUUUCACUGUGAGAAAAACGGAGUGCUUCAGGCAGGCUUUUACGGCUUGAACGCGUCAGCAUGGAAUGAUGAGAUAGGACCUGGGUGCCAUUUCGUCGGUUGUGUCCCUGAGUAAUGAUUGAUAGGAGCGGUCGGGGGUACUCGUAUUUCGCUGUCAGAGGUGAAAUUCACGGAUUUGCGGAAGACGAACCUAGGCGAAAGCAUCUACCAAGGACGCUUCCUUUAGUCAAGAACGAAAGUUAGGGGAUCGAAGAGGAUCAGAUACCCUCGUAGUCCUUACCAUAAACUAUGCCGACUGGGGAUUGGGCGCGAAUUCAUCUUCAACGUUCCGCUCAGCACCCUGGGGGAAAUCAGAGUCUUUGGGUUCCGGGGGGAGUAUGGUCGCAAGGCUGAAACUUAAAGGAAUUGACGGAAGAGCACCACCAGGAGUGGAGCUUGCGGCUCAAUUUGACUCAACACGGGGAAACUUACCAGGUCCAGACACAGCGAGGAUUGACAGGUUGACAGCCCUUUCUUGAUUCUGUGGGUGGUGGUGCAUGGCCGUUCUUAGUUGGUGGAGCGAUCUGUCUGGUUAAUUCCGUUAACGAACGAGACCACCGCCUGCUAAAUAGACGCGCGCUCACAUCGGUCGUCGCCGGCCGCGCCGCUCGCCCUCGGGUGGGCGGCGCGGGUCACCGGCGGCGCCCCAGCGCGACGAGCUUCUUAGAGGGACUCCCGGCGCAUCCCAGCCGGGGGAAGUUGGUGGCAAUAACAGGUCUGUGAUGCCCUUAGAUGUUCUGGGCUGCACACGGGCUACACUGCAAGAUACAACAAGCGUCGAUCACGCCUGACUGGAAGGUCCGGCCAAUCUUUGAAUAUCUUGCGCGAUUGGGAUAGACCAUUGCAGUUAUUGGUCUUCAACGAGGAAUUCCUAGUAAACGCGUGUCAACAACACGCAUUGAUUACGUCCCUGCCCUUUGUACACACCGCCCGUCGCUCCUACCGAUUGGAUGUUUCGAUGAGCCGUUUGGAGGACUAAGCUGAAAGCGUCAGCCGGAAGCUACGUCCGAAAUUCUGCAAAUCUGAAUAUCUAGAGGAAGGAGAAGUCGUAACAAGGUAACC
rnacentral:rRNA from 1 species